CGGGGCAUAGCGCAGCCUGGUAGCGCAUCUGGUUUGGGACCAGAGGGUCGUGGGUUCGAAUCCUACUGCCCGACCA
rnacentral:tRNA from 1 species